UACGGAGGAUCCGAGCGUUAUCCGGAAUUAUUGGGUUUAAAGGGUGCGUAGGCGGCCAUUUAAGUCUGCGGUGAAGUUUUGCAGCUUAACUGUAACAGUGCCGUUGAUACUGUUUGGCUAGGAUUUGGUUGUAGUGUGCGGAAUGUGCGGUGUAGCGGUGAAAUGCUUAGAUAUCACACAGAACACCGAUUGCGAAGGCAGCACACUAAGUCAUUAUUGACGCUGAGGCACGAAAGUGUGGGGAUCAAACAGGAUUAGA
rnacentral:rRNA from 1 species